rnacentral:lncRNA from 1 species
GAUUUCACCCAGAGACCAACGUUUUUAAGAUGAAAAGUGUUAGGCAUUAUUAUUAGUUCUUCUAAAGCAUACUUUAAUAUACAGUGUACUGAUGGGCAGACCUGCUGUCUUUAAAUCUAGUUCACAUUUUGAAAUUGUGGAGAAAGGGAGAGAAUCUGAGAAGGGCUCAGAGAAAGGUUAAAAAGAAAAGUCAUAGGUUGAAAAACUGGACUCCUGAGGAAAAGCCAAAGAUAGAGAAUGCAUUUAAUUUAGAGAAGAGAAGAUACCAAUGAAUUUUCUAACCUCCAAUGAGAGACUAUGGUCAGAUGAAAGAGAAAAAGACUAGUAGAUUGUGAUAGCUACAAAGGAAGGAGUUGUAAUCUCCGAUCCUCAUAGUUCUUAAAAUGAGGAGAGGCGAUGUAAAAUACAGACAUUAAUUAUAAGGAUUUUAUAAGACCUUCCGAUCACUUCUUCCAUGUAUAUUCUUCUGAACCAAUCCGUAUAGUUCACGUAAGUAUACCUAACUUCGGAAUGCCUUUUCUGCCUUUCUAUCACCCUUGUCUGCCCGGGAACUCUUCCUCAUCCUCCAAGAUCUGCUCUAGCGUCACCCCUCCUUGAAGCUCCCAAGCCCUCACUCUGCCCUUUUCCGAGUGAAAUUGACAGGAGGGAGUUUCAAAAUCCACAGCCCUUGUAGACGCUUCUAUUUGUGCUCUUUUUUGCUGUGUUUGCAAUUAUUUGUUCACAAGCACACUUCCCUCAAACAGGCUGUGAGCUUCCUAGACCUAGAACCAUCUCUUAUUUGUCUUUGGAACCUUGGCACCCAGCACGGUGAUGGGCACAUGCGUGGCAAUGUGAAGAAAAACGUGUUGAGUGGAAAAAACAAAUGACCGAUUGACUAACCAUAUUAUUCUUCGGUAUUCUUGUGAGGACUUGUGUGAUCCAGAGAGGGCAAUGUGGUUUUGCAAAUGCUUCCCCAAAUUUGACAAUGACGUGACGAUGCAGAUUACAACACGAGAAAUAGAAGCCAAAGCAAGGCGCCAAGAAAAUAGUCAGCUGUGGCGUUACCAACUGUUUUUUCGUGGAGAAGUCACCUGCUGACCUUCCCGUCUGUGGCCAGGAGACAUCAUUGUUGAUUCUUUGAUCUUUGUCCUUAGAAAAGUAAAGAAAACAUCCCUGGCACAGUACUCAAAACAAUAGGAAGGCAAAAAGAAGGUGGAAAUUGACCCUGCUCCUCAUAGCUCCCUUGAGAAUUUUUAGUUUUGUUGUUGUAUUGCGCAGCCUCCUACUUUGGCUAUGACCUCUGCGUACCCCAAGGUCAGUCAGCUUUGCUCAGAGCUUAGGGAUUCUACCCUUCGGAGCAUCCUAGAGCCUGAGCUUUAACUGCUCUCAAGGACACCCACCCACACCUGCAUGUUCUUUUCUUCUGCUUCUUUUUCUUUUGCUUUACAGGGGACGGGGGAUCCUUUUUAAACCUAAGUUUCAAAAGACAGUAAGUAGAAUUUAUGCUGAAGUGGAGUAACAGGCUUUGGAGCUGAGCAGUGUCCUAAUACAGGUGAAAAGCAUGUAUUGAUUACUUAAAGAAAGUUAAAAUAAAAGCAAUUUUUCUCUCCAUUUUGGCCCAUUGCAGCUUUUGGCCUAUCCACUCAUAGCUAAAAAAGCAUUCUUUCCUGAUAAUCAAGCUUCAGCUGUCUGAAUUUCAGGCCGAGCCUCUCCUCCUGAGCUCUGCUGAAGAGCUGCUUUAAUUAACCAUUAUACCACAGAUGUUAUUGAUUUUUUUUUUCAAAUCUGGUUGAAACAUCAUUGUGCUGGAUCAUGGCCAAAACUAAGGCCUGAAUUUGUGCGUGUGUGCUGCUUUUACUCCUUCUGCAUACCUUAUUCGUCUCCAUGUCUGUUAAGUGCAAUCCUUAGUAUUAACUCCGAAAAUAUAGAAUUGAUUUUUAGCCCGGCAGCCGUGAUGUAAGGGCUCCUAAUUUGAAAUCUGAAAACCUCAGUUGCUAAGGAAGUCUUUCUGCUGUUACUCUACACUUCCUUGAAGUAAGCUUUUUAUUCUUUAAUUUAAAAAAGAAAUCUCCCUCUGCCUUUUACUUCUCUCUUUCCUUCACGCAUACAUUUGGAGCCUCCACAGGAACAUGGUCCAUUCUUUGCAUUUUGAGCACGCAAAGAAUGUUUGUGGUGAAAGGCCCCCAGAGUCUUAUUCUUGUCUGUCCCAAAUGUGUGACCAAAAUACGGACUGCGUGAAAUUUUGAAAUGGAAGUGUCUCAACACUUCAAUGAAUUUUGAAGAAAAUUUGGAAGAACCUAAGCAACCUUCCCUUCAAGCUAAAUUGCAGGAUAUCAGAAACACCGCGGCAUCUGCAUUUCUUUCACACCCCGCCUCCCGGUGAUGAUAAACUCAAGGACCAAACCAUCACCACAGGCCCACUUGAGCUGGAGAAACAAUGGCCUGCAGUCGGUCCUAUGCCUCAGUGAGAAACAACAAUGCAGACCUCUUGACGAAUUCUGGCGUCGCGAGUGGAAUCUUGCAGUUGAACGUGUCUGCUGAACAGAAGUUAGAAAAAGAAAAGAUCAUCUUGUAAACAAUUAAUUAAUGUUUGUCAUGAAUUAUCAUUUUUACUUCCUUCUCAAGAGGCUCAAAGGGAAUAAAAAGGCAUUUUUGCAGGUGGUGGCAUUCAAAGUAAGGGCAAUCAAAGGUUUGAGAGCCGAGCACAGCACUCUGAGUCUCUAAGGGUGAAUGGUGCUAGGAUUAGAGCACAGCGGGGGGCUGAGGGCUUCAGGUGUGAAGCUUAAUGUUUGUGAUCAGCAAAAAAAGUCUUGAAUUUAUCUAAACUGCUCUUCUGCUAACA